UCGCUUUAGCAGCAAAUAUACUAAAACUUGAAAUAUACAGAGGAGAUUAGUAUGGCUCCUGUGCAAGGAUGACACACAAAUUCGCGAAGCGUUCCAUAUUUUA
rnacentral:snRNA from 1 species